rnacentral:lncRNA from 1 species
AUGAAGAGAAGACAGCUUGUGCCUCAAGUCCUGAUGAGAUUUUUGGGUCCUCCUGGACCCUGUCAGAAUUCCCUUGACGGAGUGCAAUUGCAUGGUGACGUUUCUCUAUGGGCUCCAACUUGGACCAGUCACCUGACGAAAUGACACUCUUUC